GGUCUUGCGGCCGGGUGGAAGACUAGUGAUUUUGUUGUUUCGAUCUAGAAACCAACAGCAAGUCACAGUCUCCCGUCCGGCUCAGAUC
rnacentral:pre_miRNA from 1 species